UAAUGAUCCAUGGAUUCUAGAGAGGGACACGGAUUCUUUACUGGACUUUCUCUUGUGGGGCACCUGCAAUCGUCCAGCUGCUGUGAGUCAGCUUGGUGUGGUGGAAACUGAAGCUGUGAGAUGUGCAGUGGUUACCAUAGCAUACAGUGAAUGAAGGUGUGCAAGCAUGAGGGAGCUAAGAUGUCCCCUAACAGCAGGAUGAAUAAUGACUUGGUCGCUAAAGAAGAAAACGGAUGUGGAUGUCUCAGUGUACGCAGAGCAGAAUAGACAAUGGCUUCACCUACUUGAGAAAUUACUAUGUUGGGCUGGCAGGACUUACGUGAGGAAAUGCAUGUUAUACAUUAAAUGUGAC
rnacentral:lncRNA from 1 species